GGAAUAUUGGACAAUGGGCGAAAGCCUGAUCCAGCAAUGCCGCGUGAGUGAUGAAGGCCUUAGGGUUGUAAAGCUCUUUUACCCGGGAUGAUAAUGACAGUACCGGGAGGAUAAGCCCCGGCUAACUCCGUGCCAGCAGCCGCGGUAAUAAGGCGGGGGCUAGCGUUGUUCGGAAUUACUGGGCGUAAAGCGUACGUAGGCGGCUUUGUAAGUUAGAGGUGAAAGCCCGGGGCUCAACCCCGGAAUUGCCUUUAAGACUGCAUCGCUUGAAUCAUGGAGAGGUGAGUGGAAUCCCGAGUGUAGAGGUGAAAUUCGUAGAUAUUCGGAAGAACACCAGUGGCGAAGGCGACUCACUGGACAUGUAUUGACGCUGAGGUACGAAAGCGUGGGGAGCAA
rnacentral:rRNA from 1 species